AUGGAUAAAUCCAUUGAAAAGUCUUUUGAAUUUCCUUUGCUGAAAGAAAUAUUAUCUGUUGCAUUCUCUUUGUUCUUAAUGUCCUUUAUUUGGUUGCACACGUAGACAUAAGAAGACAAAAGAACUGCUCUAUCAGAUACUAUGAUAGAGACAACUCACAUAAUAAGAUAAAAGAUUAUGUAGAUUCUGGGUCCUUCAGAUUCAAGUAUGCCAGUCAGAUUUUGUUUCAGAUGUCCUUCACAUAAUCUGUUGAGAUCACUUUCCAGCUUCUGUGAGACAUUCUUCUUCUAAGGACAUUGACUUCUGGUUGACCUUCCUUUGAAUCUUCUACCACAAUCUUUUAAGCUUCCCAAUCCCAUUUUGAUGCUCUUCAUAUGUCCUUUCUUCAUGAUAGAUAGAUUCUGC
rnacentral:lncRNA from 1 species